rnacentral:rRNA from 1 species
UACAGAGGGUGCAAGCGUUUAAUCGGAUUUACUGGGCGUAAAGCGCGCGUAGGCGGCUUUGUAAGUUAGAGGUGAAAGCCCGGGGCUCAACUCCGGAACUGCCUUUAAGACUGCAUCGCUUGAAUCCGGGAGAGGUGAGUGGAAUUCCGAGUGUAGAGGUGAAAUUCGUAGAUAUUCGGAAGAACACCAGUGGCGAAAGGCGGCUCACUGGCCCGGUACUGACGCUGAGGUGCGAAAGCGUGGGGAGCAAAACAGG